rnacentral:rRNA from 1 species
ACGGGUGAGUAACACGUGGGCGACCUGCCACCUGGAGGGGGAUACCCCGCGGAAACGCGGGUUAAGACCGCAUACGCUGGUUGAGAUAGAGCUCAAUCAGGAAAACGCGCAAGCGUGCCGGGUGAGGGGCCUGCGGCCGAUUAGCUAGUUGGUGGGGUAGAGGCCUACCAAGGCGACGAUCGGUAGCUGGUCUGAGAGGACGAUCAGCCACACUGGGAUUGAGAACGGCCCAGACUCCUACGGGGGGCAGCAGUGAGGGAUCUUCGGCAAUGGGGGCAACCCUGACCGAGCGACGCCGCGUGCGGGACGAAGGCCUUCGGGUCGUAAACCGCUUUUCUUGGGGACGAGAAUGGACGGUACCCGAGGAAGAAGCCUCGGCUAACUACGUGCCAGCAGCCGCGGUAAUACGUAGGAGGCGAGCGUUGUCCGGAGUUACUGGGCGUAAAGGGUGCGUAGGCGGCCGCGCGCGUGGCGGGUGAAAUCUCUCGGCUUACCCGGGAGGGUGCUUGCCAGACGGCGUGGCUUGAGGGACGGAGAGGGGCGUGGAAUUCCGGGUGGAGCGGUGAAAUGCGUAGA